GAAAUCUUGACAGAUCCCUUCGGGGUGAAGAUAAGAUGGAUUAGUGGCGGACGGGUGAGUAACGCGUGAGUAACCUGCCUUAGAGAAGGGGAUAGCCUUUGGAAACGAAGAAUAAUACCCUAUGAAACCAUAACCUCGCAUGAGGCCUUGGUCAAAGAUUUAUCGCUCUAAGAUGGACUUGCGUCUGAUUAGUUAGUUGGUGGGGUAACGGCCUACCAAGACAGCGAUCAGUAGCCGGCUUGAGAGAGUGUACGGCCACAUUGGGACUGAGACACGGCCCAGACUCCUACGGGAGGCAGCAGUGGGGAAUUUUGCACAAUGGGGGAAACCCUGAUGCAGCGACGCCGCGUGAUUUAGAAGGCCUUCGGGUUGUAAAAAUCUUUUCUAUGGGAAGAAAAUGACAGUACCAUAGGAAUAAGGACCGGCUAAUUACGUGCCAGCAGCCGCGGUAAUACGUAAGGUCCGAGCGUUGUCCGGAAUCAUUGGGCGUAAAGGGUACGUAGGCGGGUAAGCAAGUUAGAAGUGAAAUCCUAUAGCUCAACUAUAGUAAGCUUUUAAAACUGCUCAUCUUGAGGUAUGGAAGGGAAAUGGAAUUCCUAGUGUAGCGGUGAAAUGCGCAGAUAUUAGGAGGAAUACCGGUGGCGGAAGGCGACUUUCUGGCCAUAACCUGACGCUGAGGUACGAAAGCGUGGGUAGCAAACAGGAUUAGAUACCCUGGUAGUCCACGCCGUAAACGAUGAGUGUUAGGUGUCUGGAGUAAAUCUGGGUGCCGCAGCUAACGCAUUAAACACUCCGCCUGGGGAGUACGCGCGCAAGCGUG
rnacentral:rRNA from 1 species